GCCUGGGUGGCUCAGUCGGUUAAGCAUCUGACUUCAGCUCAGGUCAUGAUCUCACAGUUUGUGAGUUCGAGCCCCGUGUCAGGCU
rnacentral:tRNA from 1 species